GCCUCUGAAGCUCAGUUGGUUAGAGCGCUGCACCGGAAUCGCAGGGCCGUAGGUUCAAUUCCUACCAGAGGAC
rnacentral:tRNA from 1 species